AACGAACGCUGGCGGCAGGCCUAACACAUGCAAGUCGAGCGCGCACUUCGGGGUGAGCGGCGGACGGGUGAGUAACGCGUGGGAACGUGCCCUUUUCUACGGAAUAGUCUCGGGAAACUGAGAGUAAUACCGUAUACGCCCUUUGGGGGAAAGAUUUAUCGGAAAAGGAUUGGCCCGCGUUGGAUUAGGUAGUUGGUGGGGUAAUGGCCUACCAAGCCGACGAUGCAUAGCUGGUUUGAGAGGAUGAUCAGCCACACUGGGACUGAGACACGGCCCAGACUCCUACGGGAGGCAGCAGUAGGGAGUCUUAGGCAAGGGGGGCAACUCUGAUCUAGCCAUGCCGCGUGAGUGAUGAAGGCCUUAGGGUUGUAAAGCUCUUUCAGCUGGGAAGAUAAUGACGGUACCAGCAGAAGAAGCCCCGGCUAACUCCGUG
rnacentral:rRNA from 1 species